UACGAAGGGGGCUAGCGUUGUUCGGAAUUACUGGGCGUAAAGCGCACGUAGGCGGGUAUUUAAGUCAGGGGUGAAAUCCCGGAGCUCAACUCCGGAACUGCCUUUGAUACUGGGUACCUAGAGUAUGGAAGAGGUGAGUGGAAUUCCGAGUGUAGAGGUGAAAUUCGUAGAUAUUCGGAGGAACACCAGUGGCGAAGGCGGCUCACUGGUCCAUUACUGACGCUGAGGUGCGAAAGCGUGGGGAGCAAACAGG
rnacentral:rRNA from 1 species